GACGUAGGAGGCGAGCGUUGUCCGGAUUCAUUGGGCGUAAAGAGCGCGCAGGCGGCUUGGUAAGUCGGAUGUGAAAUCCCGAGGCUCAACCUCGGGUCUGCAUCCGAUACUGCCCGGCUAGAGGUAGGUAGGGGAGAUCGGAAUUCCUGGUGUAGCGGUGAAAUGCGCAGAUAGCAGGAGGAACACCGGUGGCGAAGGCGGAUCUCUGGGCCUUACCUGACGCUCAGGCGCGAAAGCUAGGGGAGCGAACUGG
rnacentral:rRNA from 1 species